rnacentral:ribozyme from 13 species
AACAAAAACAAAAACAACAAACAGAAAAAAAAGAUGUUGUUAAUAUCUACAAAUAUGCCUCUUUUAAAAUGCCAGCAGCUUCUGGCCCUCUGUUUCCUUCUUCUUCUUCCUCCU